rnacentral:rRNA from 1 species
GAUGAACGCUCGCUACAGGCUUAACACAUGCAAGUCGAGGGGAAACGACAUCGAAAGCUUGCUUUUGAUGGGCGUCGACCGGCGCACGGGUGAGUAACGCGUAUCCAACCUGCCCAUCACUUGGGAAUAACCUUGCGAAAGUAAGACUAAUACCCAAUGACAUCCCACGAAGACAUCUGAAUGGGAUUAAAGAUUUAUCGGUGAUGGAUGGGGAUGCGUCUGAUUAGCUUGUUGGCGGGGUAACGGCCCACCAAGGCAACGAUCAGUAGGGGUUCUGAGAGGAAGGUCCCCCACAUUGGAACUGAGACACGGUCCAAACUCCUACGGGAGGCAGCAGUGAGGAAUAUUGGUCAAUGGGCGAGAGCCUGAACCAGCCAAGUAGCGUGCAGGAGGACGGCCCUAUGGGUUGUAAACUGCUUUUAGAAGGGAAUAAAGUGGGUCUCGUGAGACUUUUUGCAUGUACCUUAUGAAUAAGGACCGGCUAAUUCCGUG